rnacentral:lncRNA from 1 species
CCUCACAACUUUAUCCCACUCAGCUUUUCUUUGUCUGACUUGUUGCACUAUGUGCUCCUCAUCACUAAAUUGAUAAUCACUAUCAAUAAACCCAUCAUCUUCACUUGAUUCCUCCUUAUUUUGAGCACAUGUGUUCUUGUUGCUUCUCUUCUUUGUCCCUUGCUUCCUAGUUGCUGCUUUGGUUGGUGUUCUUUUACUUGCUGUUUUGAUUGGUGCUCUUUUACUUGCUGUUUUGGUUGGUAUUUUUUUGCUUGCCACUGUCACCUUCGCUGUUUUUUCCUUUCUUG